rnacentral:tRNA from 1 species
CGGGCUAUAGCGAAGUUGGUAUCGCGCCUCGUUCGGGACGAGGAGGCCGUGGGUUCGAGUCCCACUAGCCCGA